rnacentral:rRNA from 1 species
CCUACGGGAGGCAGCAGUGAGGAAUAUUGGUCAAUGGUCGGGAGACUGAACCAGCCAAGCCGCGUGAGGGAUGAAGGUACAGAGUAUCGUAAACCUCUUUUGUCAGGGAACAAAGGCGGGGACGCGUCCCCGGAUGAGUGUACCUGAAGAAAAAGCAUCGGCUAACUCCGUGCCAGCAGCCGCGGUAAUACGGAGGAUGCGAGCGUUAUCCGGAUUUAUUGGGUUUAAAGGGUGCGCAGGCGGUCUGUUAAGUAAGCGGUAAAAGCCCGGGGCUCAACCCCGGCCCGCCGUUGAGACUGGCAGUCUCGAGUUGGAGAGAAGUAUGCGGAAUGCGCGGUGUAGCGGUGAAAUGCAUAGAUAUCGCGCAGAACUCCGAUUGCGAAGGCAGCAUGCCGGCUCCACACUGACGCUGAGGCACGAAAGCGUGGGUAUCGAACAGGAUUAGAUACCCCAGUAGUC